AGUCGAGCGAGGUAGCAAUACCUAGCGGCAGACGGGUGCGUAACAUGUGGGAAUCUGCCUUUUGGUUCGGAAUAACACGGGGAAACCUGUGCUAAUACCGGAUAAGUCCUUACGGAGAAAGUUUUAAUGCCAAAAGAUGAGCCCGCAUUUGAUUAGUUUGUUGGUGAGGUAAUGGCUCACCAAGACUACAAUCAAUAGCUGAUUUGAGAGGAUGAUCAGCCACACUGGGACUGAGAUACGGCCCAGACUCCUACGGGAGGCAGCAGUGGGGAAUCUUGCACAAUGGGCGAAAGCCUGAUGCAGCGAUGCCGCGUGAGUGAAGAAGGCCUUUGGGUUGUAAAGCUCUUUUGUCGGGAAAGAUAAUGACUGUACCCGAAGAAUAAGGUCCGGCUAACUUCGUGCCAGCAGCCGCGGUAAUACGAAGGGACCUAGCGUAGUUCGGAAUUACUGGGCGUAAAGAGUAUGUAGGCGGCUAGAUAAGUUAAUUGUGAAAGCCCAAAGCUUAACUUUGGAAUUGCAAUUAAAACUAUUUAGCUAGAGUAUGAUAGAGGAAAGCGGAAUACAUAGUGUAGAGGUGAAAUUCGUAGAUAUUAUGUAGAACACCAGUUGCGAAGGCGGCUUUCUGGAUCAUUACUGACGCUGAGAUACGAAAGUAUGGGUAGCGAAGAGGAUUAGAUACCCUCGUAGUCCAUACUGUAAACGAUGAUUAUUAGAUGUGGGGAAUUAUUUCUCUGUAUCACAGCUAACGCGUUAAAUAAUCCGCCUGGGGAGUACGACCGNCAGGUUAAAACUCAAAUGAAUUGACGGGGACCCGCACAAGCGGUGGAGC
rnacentral:rRNA from 1 species